ACGAACGCUGGCGGCGUGCUUCACACAUGCAAGUCGAACGGAAAGGCCUCUUUCGGGGGGUACUCGAGUGGCGAACGGGUGAGUAACACGUGAGUAACCUGCCCUUGACUUUGGGAUAACUUCAGGAAACUGGGGCUAAUACCGGAUAGGAGCUCCUGCUGCAUGGUGGGGGUUGGAAAGUUUCGGCGGUUGGGGAUGGACUCGCGGCUUAUCAGCUUGUUGGUGGGGUAGUGGCUUACCAAGGCUUUGACGGGUAGCCGGCCUGAGAGGGUGGCCGGCCACAUUGGGACUGAGAUACGGCCCAGACUCCUACGGGAGGCAGCAGUGGGGAAUAUUGCACAAUGGGUGGAAGCCUGAUGCAGCAACGCCGUGUGCGGGAUGACGGCCUUCGGGUUGUAAACCGCUUUCGCUCAUGACGAAGCUUUGUGUGACGGUAGUGGGUAAAGAAGCACCGGCUAACUACGUG
rnacentral:rRNA from 1 species